AGUGAACGCUGGCGGCAGGCCUAACACAUGCAAGUCGAACGGCAGCACAGUAAGAGCUUGCUCUUACGGGUGGCGAGUGGCGGACGGGUGAGGAAUACAUCGGAAUCUACUUUUUCGUGGGGGAUAACGUAGGGAAACUUACGCUAAUACCGCAUACGACCUACGGGUGAAAGCAGGGGCUCUUCGGACCUUGCGCGAUUGAAUGAGCCGAUGUCGGAUUAGCUAGUUGGCGGGGUAAAGGCCCACCAAGGCGACGAUCCGUAGCUGGUCUGAGAGGAUGAUCAGCCACACUGGAACUGAGACACGGUCCAGACUCCUACGGGAGGCAGCAGUGGGGAAUAUUGGACAAUGGGCGCAAGCCUGAUCCAGCCAUACCGCGUGGGUGAAGAAGGCCUUCGGGUUGUAAAGCCCUUUUGUUGGGAAAGAAAAGCAGCAGGUUAAUACACCGCUGUUAUGACGGUACCCAAAGAAUAAGCACCGGCUAACUUCGUG
rnacentral:rRNA from 1 species